rnacentral:lncRNA from 1 species
UUUUUUCUUCUAGAGAGAGAUAAGUAGCCUGCUAUUCAUUUUAUUUAUUUAUUUUUACAAAUAAAUUUAGUUAAAAAUAUAAAUUAAUUAGGAUUUGAACUUAAAAGCUAUAGUACCAACGACCAAAUUCUUUAUCACUUGCACUAUGGAUGGUUGGUAUAUCUACUUAGUUCUUGAUCUUCCAAAAGAGACAAAAUAGGAUCUAUCAAAUUUGCAUGUUUAGC